rnacentral:lncRNA from 1 species
CAGGAAUUCAAGAACCUGAGAGAUCCUUCCAGUGCUGUGAGGGACACACACUGCGUGUCUCAUGCUACUGGUAACGGACCUUGGUUUUAUUUGAGAAAAUACAGCACCGCUAGAAGCCUUUUCCAUCAUCUUCACCAAGGUAUGCAGCGAUGUGAAAAGCACAUAUAAAACAAGGAAAAAAUGUACAUAGCAAACUAUACCACCUAUGUGCAACACAAUCAAAAAUUCAAGUCAUAAUUCUCACCACUCCCGUAAUUAUUUCACUCAUUAAGGAUGAUAAUUCAGUUCUAUGAAACGCUGGAAGUGACAGGAUAUCGAUAAUCAGACAAAUUUACAAUAUGCCGUGGUACUGACAUCACUUAAAUGCUGUAUUUAAAUUCAAAUCUUUUCAUUUACACGUAGCCAGAGAAAAGUUGGCUGUUCCUACUGUACUGAUGAGGUUUAUUUUGCAAAUUUUUACGUAUUUCAAAAGGGUACAAAAAAGUAUGUUUGCUGAGUGGAGGCUGUCAUUUAUUUGGCACUUGUAUUGUGUGCAUUGAGCACGUUGUGAGUGCUGUUCUGCUUCUCUGCCAUCGCCUUCUUCAGCUUUAACUCCUCUAGCUUUCUCCACAGCUCUUCACGUUCCAAUUCCUUCUUUUUCUCUCUGUGGAAAAGAGUGAGGUAUCAAUUUCAGACGCGUCUUUUAGCGCAGUGUGGUGAUGCAGGUACCAAAACAGCUGUGGUCUACACCUCGUAAUCUGCAGCUUAAGUUAAGUGUUUUCCCCAAAGCUAUAUUCAGAGGCAUUCCAUUUCCUCUAUUAAAAAGUAAGCAUACAAAUUAGUAAAGACUAGCAGUAAAACAGUAACUGCGCUCUGACAUGAGUUUGUCAGAUGAUUGCUGUAGUGUGGUUUUGCAGAGAUGACUGCAGUUUGGAAACAAGAAAGAUACUGAGCACUUUGGGCCAGUGGAAGUAGAGCUGCUGGAAGGAGCCUUAGCGUGCUAGCACAGCUGCAGCAGCACUGGUGGGUGGUUGGUGGGAUAACGGAGGCGUUUGAGCAGUGAGGUGUUUUCCAGCCAAGCUUUCUCCAGCAACAGGCCCUGAAGCAGAGCCAGCACCAGGCGGCCCCCACCGCAGCAGUAUCCACUGUGUGCUUCUACAGAACCCCGCAGCCACAGCAGUUAAGUGCUAGAUUUCAGCUGGUACAUUCUAGGUAUGGAUUCAGCAUCACCAUCCAUUUGGACACACAAACAAACAAAAACCAUCACCUUUGCCUUUCUGCUUUAUACGAGCUGGUAAGCUCAUCAAAAAGCUUGCCGUUCAUUUCCAUCAGUGUUUUCAGCACAUUAUAUACCAGUGCCACGAUGGUUCUAGAAUGGAAGGAUCACAACCAUUAGAAUUAACACAGACUUCAAUAAGCAACUGUUUGGUUUCCUUUUUGGACCCUGAGCUUUGUCUUUAAGGUGCUCCUGUAAAGCCCAGUUUUUGAAAGAAAAUCUUGUCCUAUAGCUCCCUCCAUAAACGAAUAAAUGAGUAUUUAACUUUAAACUCCCAACUCCCGUCAUCACAUAACAUACAACUGUUGGUACUGUGACAGCACUAUAAAGCCAUUAAUUAUGUUAGCAUUUAAUGAACUGAAUUCUCACAAGGGUUUUUAAGUAUUUGAGCAAUGAAACAGGAGCGUCUCAAAGGAUAAAACUUCUGGUGCUAAGCCCGAGUUUGGCAGUUAAUUCAAGAAACCAAAUAGCUCAAGCAGUACUGCUGUGUCUUAUGUAAAUUACAUCUUGACAGCCACAGAUCAUUUUCCUUUUUGACUCUAUUUGUGAAGAUAUACUCAUGUCAUUAAGUUAUCUUAAUAAUGUUUAUCUCCUUUCAGCCCACUCUGAAUUAUUACACACAAACCUGCAGAAAUUGCAGUAAAGAUGAAAAAGGUGCCUAUCUUUCAGCUUAUCACUAAUCAAAAAAGGUGAGCUGUAAGGUAAGCUGUCUCCCCCUCGUUCCCCUCGCUAGUGGAUCACCUUCACACAGCAGUAAGGAGCAUAAGGCCGUAGAGCAGGGAUGCCAUGCAGUCAUCGCCUUGAAAAAUGAGUGAAAGAAAAAACUAAGGCAGUAAGCAAAGGACCAGAUUUGCCUUUUCAGUACUCUGUUCACUGUGGCACCUUUGAGAUCUCUCUCCUGCUGACCAGAGGCCUCACGCUCACCCAAAAUGCCCACACACUGAAUGCUGGCUGUCUCACGGUUUGAAGACAAAAGCUUACUUAGGUUAUUGGUUUUCUGAGAGGAACAGCCUGAUCCUAAGUGAAUAAUUAAGACCACACUGGGCAGGUAGAUAGAUAUAAAUAAGCUUCUCUGUCCUUCAAAUCAGAUUAAAACCACAGGGCUGUACUUGCUUCCUGAACUUCCUGCUUUUCAAAGCAUACCAUUAAUUUGUGUCUUUCGUGCCCUUCCUAAAUUAGGAGCACCUUCUGUCUGCAGCCAGGGGAAAAGGGACACAGUUCAGAUUUGUCGAGGCCUGCAGGCACUACUAAGGCUCCAAGAACCAGGUCUCCCGUAGUUACAUUCAGGCUCAGCUGGUACUUUUGCAUUGACACGCACCGCCUGGAUACAUUCAGAAUAAUCUCAGCCUCUGAGGGCUCUUAACAGGUGUCUGAUUUGCUUAGACUGCAGAAGGCUCCCGCCUGUAAAAAGCUUUCUGUGUUCUACAGAUUGACUCAGUGUAGGGUGCUGAGCACAGCCAAACCUUGCUAAUAUUUUAAGAUUUGGUGUCAUUACUUUGUCUUGCAAAUAUGAAAAAAAAACAACCAAAUUAAGUAGGAAAUCAAAUAACCAACACCUAAGCUCAAAUGUCAUUGAACAUCACAACGGCCAUCCAAUUCCUGCAUUUUUGGGGUAAAUUCCAGUUCUCCGUCACAGUGCAGAACAGUGCAAGCACAAUAUUGCUGAAAAUGACAUCCAUUUUAGCAGAUUUCAUCUAAGUUCAAACGAAGACAUAUUUACAAGGUUAUGAUCUCAAUUCAAUGCAGUAGGCUUAAUGCAGUGCAUCUCUGGUACUGCAGACAGUGAGAUGUUACUUACGGGUUCCAGUGUUCUUUGGAGAUCUUGUAUAAACUACCAAACAUAAUUGGUAGAAUUUUAUCGAUGUUCUCCUCAAUCAGACUAAGAAUAUAUUCAUUAUUCCAAAAGUACAAAGCUCUUUCUGCAACCUGAAACGCAAAGGUUAGCGGUCAGCAACCAGAAAACAAAUGACUGCAGGUGAUUUUUGAAGGGUUUUUGUUUGUUUGUUUUUUUACCUGAAAAUGUGAACUUGACACACACUUGGAUAUUUGCUUAAAUAAAGGCUCUUCUAUUUUUUUGAAUUGUGUCGGCUCUAUUACAUCUAAGAUUUCUUCAAUUUCACCUAAAAACAUUACCUGUUUGUGUAAAAGAAAUACAUUAACAAGUAUGAGAAUGUUUUAUAUUGACAGUGUAAACAGAAACAAAAUAUGGCUUAAACAUGAGAACGUGCACACAGUGGUGCCUCGGGGAUCCACGGGCUUUUCUGCAGGCUGAAAGAAGGCAGAAGUGGUGCCAGAGACCUGGAUGCAGCUCCUACCUCGGGGUCUCCCUUUGUGUGACUGCUCUAGCACCUAACAGAGCUGCUUUUGCCCAAUGUUUUUCUUUACAGUUAAAAAAAGCUGCCACAUUUUACUUCCAAGGUAGCUGCAGAGGUUACCUUUGAGAUCUGCAGAGUAGCUGCUGAAGUGGCCAGUAGUUAUAGGGGUUUUAAGGUAGAGCCUGCAGGACAGCAGGCAGGUGGCAUGGAAACAUUCAGUGCCACGCAACCAAACAGACAACAGCGCCGAAGGGCCCCAUUCUCAGGCACCAACAGAGUGGUGUCAGUCCGGCUCCAGACUGUGCUCAUUUGAAUUACAGAGAAGAAAAGCCAGCCAGAAAAAAACAAUUUCCCCAGACCAUUAAGAGUUAUUUUCACCCUGUGGAAAAAAUGUAUGCACGCUUCACCAGAGUUCUAUUCAGCUUCUCCGUGGCUACAUCUGGGUUGUGUGUGGUACAGAUGACUGCUACCUCCAACAUAGUGUGACCACUACGGUACUUCUCACCUCAAAACUCUCAUUCUCUAUUAAGUACCUUAAUUAGAAUGAACUUCUAGCACAGUUUUAACAUAGCAGCACCACAGUGACAGCUGGCAUGCCAAAAAACUGCUCUGAGUAGCCUGACAAAGAUGAGCACUCUAUAAAGUUUCAAGAGCUGCAAGUUUGUUGCAAGAUCUCUUGAGAAGUUCAGCAGGGAUGCGGAGCACAACCCUGCCACGCUGCAGUUUGCAUCACAGCAGACAAGAAACAGAAGAGAAAGAAGACAAAACCAACCUCUUUCUGACUGCAAGUUUUGGGCCAGAAUUUGAGCAGUCCUCUGAUUACCUGUAUGAGAAACACAACCAAGUUAAAGCAGAGCACGUUUUUGUUACAUAUUUGAUAAGAUAGAGGAGAAAAAAAAAGUCUGUUUCUCCCUCAGAGGUUCAACAGAAACUGAAUUAGGCUAAAAGCAAUUCCACGAAAAUAAAUAUCUCAUUUAAAUAUUUCUCUUGCUUUGGUUACCCACUCCCACUGCACUACGUACACUGAUAGCAUGCUGAUAUUGUCAAAUAUCCCAAAAUGAAGCUCGUUUCCCUGUAGGCAGACUGCCAGUACUUUUACUUGUUCCCUCCUGACCCACACACCGCAGAGCACUGCACCCGGUGGGUUUUGUAGGCCAGGAGAAAGCAGCGCACAGACAGCACGAACGGCAAACUGAGGGGUCCCGGCCUCCACCAAACCUUUUUUUCUUCUAUGACUUUAAGUGUCAAAGGCUGGAAAGUAGAAAUGAUGGGAACUUGCAAAGAAAAUGUAUUUCAGUAUCUACACUGGAAACUGUCUCACGUAAGACUGGAAAAACCCUUUGGGAAACGUAAUUGGAAAGCACCACCUCCAAAAGGAGCAGCAGCUGUUCCCCAGAACAGACACCUGGCCCAGCACCAACCUGAAGCACGAAUGCUGGCUGAAGAAAGCCCAAACUGCACCUUGCAGACACAGAAACCUUCAAGCAAUGCGAAAUUGCAUUCUGAGGAAAGACCUCAGCUUGUAUGGCAUAGCAGCACCUAACAGAUCAUUCCCAGCUGUAGAACGUAAUCUACUAUGUGAAUGCCUUCCAUAUUGCAAUUUUCCCAUGUUUUUUUCCUCCAGUCUUCCCAGCUGGCUGUUUGGCUCACAGCUGUGUGUACCGUCACAGGUGACGUGCUGACAGUAAGUUAAUGAUGCUUGGUGCUCACUGGAUUUUAUCCUGGGAUACGCAAACUAGAAGACUGGCUGUCACCUGAGAUGGAACUCAGCAAAUGAGGACUUCAUGUUUGAUAUUUUUAAAGCACAAGUCGGAACACGUACAGUCUGCCAGUACCUUCCCUUCCCCAGACAACACCAGAAAGCCAAAAUAAUUUCAGAUGGGUACGUCUUCCAAAGAAAAGCUACUGGAACCUAAUGUAUGUCUCUGUAACCUGAAGCAUGAAUGUACUGAUGUUAGAGGCACAGAGCUGGGUCAGCUGCAACAGCCCGGUUUCCAGCAGUGGGCAAUGAGUGCUGAAUAUACUUCACUACAUGGACUCACAUUCUCAACUUGACAAAGAAGUAGUAUGUUCCUGCUAUAAAAGUGCAAACCUCUAUAACACACCUAUUCCUUGCUCUUUAGAGAGAGUAUCAGUUUCCAGCUUGACCACGCUCUUACACUGAAAAGCUGAGACGUGCAUAUUUAAGUUCAAAGCCUUUUUUCCAAGAUCUGCACAAAUGUAGAUCUGAAGUUGUACUGCUCUUACAGCACAAAAUACACAUGGUUAAUAUUCCUCCCAGGGCUACGAGAUUUCUAUAAAGCUGACUUACACCAGCAGACACCUGCUAGACAACUUCCGUACAAGGGCUGCACAUUCAGCCUGAUUCUCAUGAAAUGAAAUUCCAUCCAUGUAAAGGCUGUGGCACUCAGCAGGGUUAGGUAAUGAGCUCCUGUCAGCUCUGCAAACAUCAAGACCGACCUAAGGCAGACUACCAUAGCUACAUGAGCUCGGAACGCACGUCCUCUGCAUUGACCCCGAGAGACAGUUCCUGCCAGAAACACAACAGUGAGGUACUCAUGAAGCCUUCUGAUGGACUUCUUAAAAUACUACUUCACCUACAGCCAAACAAAAUCCGUCUGCUAUUUCAUCAGCUACCCUAUCUCGUUUUAACAUCUACAUUUCAAGCACUUCAAGUUUCUUACAUCUUCACUUACUACUAUAUAUCAACUUUGACUCUUCCUUUAUAAAGGCAACUUUACUGUAAGUUCACAUUAAUAACCAAAGUAUUUCGAUUUCCAACAUCUCCUUAAUGGAAGGAUUUCCAAUUGCUGACCCAACUGUUUCUGUCCCGGCUGCUGCAGCGCCGCUCCGUUUCCCCAGGAGCUGCAGCACUGCCUGCACGCUGUACGGGCACAGGCGGACUGCCGGCAGGAAGCGCUGCCAUUCCCUUUGUGUCCGGGAGGGCUGUGUGUGCUGCAGGAGAUGCAGUCUGGCAGAAGGCACUGAUGCCCAAAGCACCUCUACUGCAGCUGCCGGGAGGUGUCCCAGGAACCAAAAAGACAAACAUCACAUUUGGAAUGUCAGCAUCCUUACUGUCUAAAUGAAGUGCUCUUUCUCACUUCCACUUUGGGACAGUGUAUUCCCUGAAAUAUUUCACGUUUCUGCUAGGCACGAGCCAUCGGCACCGUUAAUACUCAAACUGUAGCUCUUAGCAGGAAGGAACACAGCUGUUACAUGCAUUCUCAUAUGAGGGGAUUUAUGUGAUCUCUGUGGUUCAAACUUUUAUUUCAACUUCAUCUCGGAUGCAGGCUUAGAGAUAACUGCAAUUCCAAACUCAGGACUUUCUCCUACACUUUCUUUCCCCCCUAAAAAACGCCUAUGGAUCACAAUCAAGAUAUCAGAUAGCACUGCUCUGCAAUUCCAGUCAACUGCACUGAAAUACUAAGUUGAAAUUAAAACCAGAAAAACAUGCAACUGAAAAACACUUACAGGCUCUGUUAAAGUUGUAUCUUUCUCCAGGAACUGUACAACACAAUAGGCGAGCUAGAAUAUAAGUCACAGAAUUAUUUAAACAGACACUGGUUAGACACUGCAGCAUAACUAAAUAGCACAGCUUGUAAUGAGAGCACUUCAGAGCACGAAAAAAGAAAACAAGAAAAGAAAGGCUGAAGCCCCAAACACUGUAUUCUCCCCCACCUCGGUGAUCGCUGCCCAACGGCCUGAGGAGUGAUACUGUACAUUCUAUAUUCACUUAUUUACAUAGUGUUUACUUAGCACACAGCUAAGUGACAAACAGCCAUAGCUCUGCCAUGUACAGAAGCCACACAAAGAGUGACAGUUCUAAUUUCCAUCCAGAUUGAUUUUGAGAAAUCACAGUAUGCUUCAUCUCACAAUAUGACCCAGAUACAAAAUGAUUGCUGUGCAUUACCAAAAUGUGUAUUGCCAAACCUGAAAUCAAGAACUACCUUUAUGUUUGUUUGAUUUUGAAUCUGUUAUCCUAGAACAGGUCACUACAACAAGCCUAACUUACUGCUGCUACUCAUAAGGAUGUGUGUGUGUGCAUUCAAAAGAACAGUACAGCACACACAGACUUCAUAGAUUCCCAUUAAGGCAUUACUGUGCCACUUACCCACUGUUCAGAGACACAAAGGCUCAAACUUAAGCCAGCUUUAAGAUUUCAUCUUUUAAGGGCAGGCUCCUUGUGCUGUAGAAACACAGCAGUGAGGUUACACCUGCCUGCAAAGCAGACUCAGUGCUGGUUUUGGGAUAACAUGAAGGCAGAAACACAGCGAUGGGACGGCUCCUUCAUUUCCAAGUGCUGUUUUGGUACAUAGCACCGUGGUUUGUGACGGGAUAGACAAGUAGCCUGCUCAACAAACCAAAUGCUGCCUUCCAGUAUCCAGUACAGCUGAGUUUAGAGCAUCCUUUCAGGUACCAAUGGACAAGAUUAAACAUAUCACAGAAAAAGGGCAGCUUGCUGUACUGCUCUAUCAAGGAGAAUGCUUUUGGCAUGUGAGCGGUUCCUUCAUUUCACGUGGCAGCCUAUCGCACAGUAAUAAACCACAAAGAUGAGUGAUCUCAUUAAUUCCUAAUUCUCAUAUACAGUUUUUACUGAGCUCUUAACUUGAUCCUGUUUGUAGUCUAUACAUUCAUAAUGAUUUUGCUUUAAUUGGAAACUCAUUUCCUUGUUUUGUCUAUAAAGGCGCUGUAUUAGCUGGCAGACUAAGUUAACAAAGCUAUUUUUUAAUUAGCCAAGCUGAAUUACUUGUAAGUUUACAUCAAACAUAUUCAAUGCUCAAGUGCCAUAUGUCUGGAAAGAAUACACAUUAUUCCUCCAAUAAGAUGAUGAACGGCCACACUAUGCAUAAGAAUGGCAGUUAAAUGAAUAACUGCUGCAUUCUGACAGCAUGUCAUGGAUCUACAUAAUUUCUAGCUGAGCUAUUAUGCAUUUCUGCCAUUUCUACCCAAUGCCCCUCCCCCCCUCACAAUCACUGGAAGGUUUUAGAAAUAAAGAAGCACUUCUGGAAUAAGCAGCUAGCCACACUCAGGGUUCCUUGGUACACAGCAUGAAGGUUACGUUAAAAAAGUGAUAAGAGAACAGAACAAGGGCCUGGGAUUAAAUGAAGCUUGGAGUGUGACAGACUGCCAAACCAGAAAGCUUCCCACUGCAGCUGAUGUGAGUUCAAAUCACUGUUACAUUCCUUCACUUUUAAUACAUGCUAAAGCCUUAUCUCAAAAUUAACAUUUAUAAACAAGAUCUGCAAGAUCUUAAAAAAUAAACAUUUACAAAUCCCUCAAACUGUUGACAUUAUAACACACGCUGCUUCAAACUUUCAUUGGCUUCAAAUGCAAAUACAGAGAAAACCACUACUCUUAAAAAUAGGCGAAAGCUUACCUGUGCGUGAAACAAAGCUAAUCCCUUUGCAGUAUGCAUGGGAAUCAGAACUUUCAUAAGGAACUGUUUGUGUUCCGCUUUCAGUGGCAGUGCAAAACCAUUGAUAAUACUUCCUAAUAUCUCAAGAAGUUCAGCAACACCAUUGAAGUGCUCUGUUUCAUAUAUAAACCUGAGGAAAAUGUUAUUGAUCUGUUUUCUGAUGAAUGCUCUUAAACCAAGGAAUUUGCCAUAAAUUCGAUGAAGAACUGUCUUCAGGAAAUCACGUUCUCGUGGGUCCUCACUAUCAAAGAGCUCCAGUAACUGCUGUACAAAUUUCUGGUCAAU